rnacentral:rRNA from 1 species
UACAGAGGUCUCAAGCGUUGUUCGGAUUCAUUGGGCGUAAAGGGUGCGUAGGCGGCGCGGUAAGUCGGGUGUGAAAUCUCGGAGCUUAACUCCGAAACUGCAUUCGAUACUGUCGUGCUUGAGGACUGGAGAGGAGACUGGAAUUUACGGUGUAGCGGUGAAAUGCGUAGAUAUCGUAAGGAAGACCAGUGGCGAAGGCGGGUCUCUGGACAGUUCCUGACGCUGAUGCACGAAGGUCAGGGGAGCAAACGGG